rnacentral:tRNA from 1 species
GGUGAAAACAUUGCCUUUUCGAGGCAGAGUUAAGGGUUCAAUUCCCUUCGGAG